GCCUGGCGUGGUGGUGCACGCCUGUAAUCCCAGCAGCUCAGGAGGCUGAGACAGGAGGAUUGCGAGAUCAAAGCCAGCCUCAGCAACGUGAGACACUAAGCAACUCAGGGAGACCCUGUCUCUA
rnacentral:sRNA from 1 species